rnacentral:rRNA from 1 species
GAUGAACGCUGGCGGCGUGCCUAAUACAUGCAAGUCGAGCGAACGGACGAGAAGCUUGCUUCUCUGAUGUUAGCGGCGGACGGGUGAGUAACACGUGGAUAACCUACCUAUAAGACUGGGAUAACUUCGGGAAACCGGAGCUAAUACCGGAUGAUAUUUUGAACCGCAUGGUUCAAAAGUGAAAGACGGUCUUGCUGUCACUUAUAGAUGGAUCCGCGCUGCAUUAGCUAGUUGGUAAGGUAACGGCUUACCAAGGCAACGAUGCAUAGCCGACCUGAGAGGGUGAUCGGCCACACUGGAACUGAGACACGGUCCAGACUCCUACGGGAGGCAGCAGUAGGGAAUCUUCCGCAAUGGGCGAAAGCCUGACGGAGCAACGCCGCGUGAGUGAUGAAGGUCUUCGGAUCGUAAAACUCUGUUAUUAGGGAAGAACAUAUGUGUAAGUAACUGUGCACAUCUUGACGGUACCUAAUCAGAAAGCCACGGCUAACUACGUGCCAGCAGCCGCGGUAAUACGUAGGUGGCAAGCGUUAUCCGGAAUUAUUGGGCGUAAAGCGCGCGUAGGCGGUUUUUUAAGUCUGAUGUGAAAGCCCACGGCUCAACCGUGGAGGGUCAUUGGAAACUGGAAAACUUGAGUGCAGAAGAGGAAAGUGGAAUUCCAUGUGUAGCGAUGAAAUGCGCAGAGAUAUGGAGGAACACCAGUGGCGAAGGCGACUUUCUGGUCUGUAACUGACGCUGAUGUGCGAAAGCGUGGGGAUCAAACAGGAUUAGAUACCCUGGUAGUCCACGCCGUAAACGAUGAGUGCUAAGUGUUAGGGGGUUUCCGCCCCUUAGUGCUGCAGUUAACGCAUUAAGCACUCCGCCUGGGGAGUACGACCGCAAGGUUGAAACUCAAAGGAAUUGACGGGGACCCGCACAAGCGGUGGAGCAUGUGGUUUAAUUCGAAGCAACGCGAAGAACCUUACCAAAUCUUGACAUCCUUUGACAACUCUAGAGAUAGAGCCUUCCCCUUCGGGGGACAAAGUGACAGGUGGUGCAUGGUUGUCGUCAGCUCGUGUCGUGAGAUGUUGGGUUAAGUCCCGCAACGAGCGCAACCCUUAAGCUUAGUUGCCAUCAUUAAGUUGGGCACUCUAAGUUGACUGCCGGUGACAAACCGGAGGAAGGUGGGGAUGACGUCAAAUCAUCAUGCCCCUUAUGAUUUGGGCUACACACGUGCUACAAUGGACAAUACAAAGGGCAGCGAAACCGCGAGGUCAAGCAAAUCCCAUAAAGUUGUUCUCAGUUCAGAUUGUAGUCUGCAACUCGACUACAUGAAGCUGGAAUCGCUAGUAAUCGUAGAUCAGCAUGCUACGGUGAAUACGUUCCCGGGUCU